UACGUAGGGUGCAAGCGUUAAUCGGAAUUACUGGGCGUAAAGCGUGCGCAGGCGGUAAUGUAAGACAGGUGUGAAAUCCCCGGGCUUAACCUGGGAACUGCAUUUGUGACUGCAUUGCUGGAGUGCGGCAGAGGGGGAUGGAAUUCCGCGUGUAGCAGUGAAAUGCGUAGAUAUGCGGAGGAACACCGAUGGCGAAGGCAAUCCCCUGGGCCUGCACUGACGCUCAUGCACGAAAGCGCGGGGAGCAAACAGG
rnacentral:rRNA from 1 species